rnacentral:lncRNA from 1 species
GAAAUCCAAUAACUCUCCUGACUGACUCAACCUAUUCAUUAAGACACUGGGAAGAAAAACACUUCCAUAGAAAAACAGAAACUAUAUUAGGCAUUUCAACAUAGAGCCUAUACAAGGAAUGGUUAAACAGACAGUAGAAGAUUGAAAAAGCAAAAAGGGAACUCUGAGGCAACAACGAGGCUCAGCUUGGGCCUCAGACUUUUGAGGAGGGGACAUUGCCCAAAUGAUUCUGGUACAGCAGAGGGGCACAGUGUGGCUGGCUCUGGAGUGCUAAAAGAAUGUAGAGACUUUGGCUAUUAACAGCUUUCUGACCAAUAAACCAACUGCAGAUGAUUCUAGUCAUUCAAUUGUGGAAGCAUUUGGAAGGCAGAAGAUUCUGCAUCUUCAGGCACUGGAUUUACCACCAGCACCAGCAGAUACUCCCUCCGGAGACCCUUGCCAUUGAAUUGAGGACUGGGCUCUCAGAUAGCUCUUGAUAAGUCUGGGUUUGCUUAACUCAAUAACCCCACAGAAAACACCUUGGAGAAGGGUUCGAUUUACAUGGGCAUUUGAAGCACUGAAGCCUUAUAAAUUUGCUUUGAAAAUUUCAGUGAAGAAGAGGGAAGCAAAAGAGAGAUGGGGGGAAGAGAGAGACUUGAGAGAAAAAUGUUUCCACAAGAACAAGCAAAUCCUGCAGCCUGCUGUGCAGCAAGUGCCCUGCCUACAGAUGUGGGAAGAUUUAUGGACUGGAACUAUAGAUUUCUACUUUUGUGUAGUUGGAUGGAGCUGUUAGUGAAUUUAUCCUUUAAGAUGCCAUCAGUUAGCUGUAUCUUUAAUAUGCAUUAAUUUGUUAAGAAGUGGAGUGUUUUUUUUCAGUCACUCAGCAAAUAAAAUGUAUAGUCAAGGUAUCCUAAUUCUUUCUAAACAUCAUUCCCUCUACAAGCACAAGACCUACACACUACCUCCUAAAUAUCCAGAAACACUCAAUCUGGUGCCUCACUCUAGCCUACACUUGCUAUCCAC